UGCGUAGUCGGCUUUUUAAGUCGGGUGUGAAAUCCCCGGGCUCAACCUGGGAAUUGCAUUCGAUACUGGAUCGCUAGAGUUCGGCAGAGGGAAGCGGAAUUUCGGGUGUAGCGGUGAAAUGCGUAGAUAUCCGAAGGAACAUCAGUGGCGAAAGCGGCUUCCUGGACCAGAACUGACGAUCAGGCACGAAAGCGUGGGGAGCAAACAGGAUUAGAUACCCUGGUAGUCCACGCCAUAAACGAUGACAACUAGACGUUGGGAGGGUAUGCCUCACAGUGUCGCAGCUAACGCGUUAAGUUGUCCGCCUGGGGAGUACGGCCGCAAGGUUGAA
rnacentral:rRNA from 1 species